AUUGAACGCUGGCGGCAGGCCUAACACAUGCAAGUCGAGCGGAUGAAGGGAGCUUGCUCCUGGAUUCAGCGGCGGACGGGUGAGUAAUGCCUAGGAAUCUGCCUGGUAGUGGGGGAUAACGUCCGGACACGGGCGCUAAUACCGCAUACGUCCUGCGGGAGAAAGUGGGGGAUCUUCGGACCUCACGCUAUCAGAUGAGCCUAGGUCGGAUUAGCUAGUUGGUGGGGUAAAGGCCUACCAAGGCGACGAUCCGUAACUGGUCUGAGAGGAUGAUCAGUCACACUGGAACUGAGACACGGUCCAGACUCCUACGGGAGGCAGCAGUGGGGAAUAUUGGACAAUGGGCGAAAGCCUGAUCCAGCCAUGCCGCGUGUGUGAAGAAGGUCUUCGGAUUGUAAAGCACUUUAAGUUGGGAGGAAGGGCAGUAAGUUAAUACCUUGCUGUUUUGACGUUACCAACAGAAUAAGCACCGGCUAACUUCGUG
rnacentral:rRNA from 1 species